UGGGGAAUAUUGCACAAUGGGCGCAAGCCUGAUGCAGCAAUGCCGCGUGUGUGAAGAAGGCCUUCGGGUUGUAAAGCACUUUCAGACGUGAGGAAAAGUUAAUAGUUAAUAACUGUUAACCCUGACGUUAACGUCAGAAGAAGCACCGGCUAACUCCGUGCCAGCAGCCGCGGUAAUACGGAGGGUGCGAGCGUUAAUCGGAAUUACUGGGCGUAAAGCGCACGCAGGCGGUCUGUUAAGCUAGAUGUGAAAGCCCCGCGCUCAACGUGGGAGGGUCAUUUAGAACUGGCAGACUAGAGUCUUGGAGAGGGGAGUGGAAUUCCAGGUGUAGCGGUGAAAUGCGUAGAGAUCUGAAGGAACAUCAGUGGCGAAGGCGACUCACUGGGCCAUUACUGACGCUGAGGUGCGAAAGCGUGGGUAGCAAACA
rnacentral:rRNA from 1 species